CUAAAGAACUGCAAACCUCAGGUCCCAUUUAAGGAGGCUUUAGGAAAACUCAAAAACAAAAUGGGAGAGAAAAACAAGGACACUAGAUAUAAUUUCAGCCCCUGAAACCACGGCUUACGGCAAACAGUAUCCUAACUCCUAGCCAGAUAAAUUAAGACUCCACACUAAAGAUUAUAUGGGGAAGCCAUUAGGAAGUUUUGACUGACCCGAUUUAAGAGAAGCACAUUAGCUCUUUUGUUGGGAAUAGACCCUGGGGGCAAGCAUGGAAUCCCAGCACACAGGUCUUUGGAGUCUAUGCCUGAAAUGACCACACUUAACCAAGAAUAGAUUUUUCCCAAAGAGUGUUUCCAAGAGCCCUUCCUGAAUUUCAAACAAUAAACGUAGUGUUUAUGAAGCACCUAUUGGAAAUCAUGCUGGAAAUAUCCUGUAAAUAAAUCAUCUCUUUUGAUCUUCACAACAGUCCUACAAGGAUAUCACAAAUCAUCUAUUGAGCUUAAAAAAUAAAAAGAAACAUCUACCAAAAGAAAUGAGCCUAAGGAAUAUUUUAGUAGAAAAUAUGAAGACAAGCUAUUAAAAGUAAGAAGUGAGGAAACUGCAUCCAGUCAGCGCAGGUCAUUAAGCUCCAGCGAAAGUUCACUGAAGCAAAGGCACCUAUUGUUGAUCUCACAAAAUAACUGGAGGGUUUUCCAGAGAGAGUGGGGCACAAG